AGCAGCCGCGGUAAUUCCAGCUCCAAUAGCGUAUAUUAAAGUUGUUGCAGUUAAAAAGCUCGUAGUUGAAUUUCGGGAUCAAUUUGCUGGUCGUGCCUUCGGUACGCACUGGUAUUAUUGGUUUCUCCUUUCUGAUGAAUCGCGAUGUCAUUAAUUUGGUGUCGUGGGGAAUCAGGACUGUUACUUUGAAAAAAUUAGAGUGUUUAAAGCAGGCUCACGCUUGAAUACAUUAGCAUGGAAUAAUGAAAUAGGACGUUUGAUUCUAUUUUGUUGGUUUCUAGGAUCGACGUAAUGAUUAAUAGGGAUAGUUGGGGGCAUUAGUAUUCAAUUGUCAGAGGUGAAAUUCUUGGAUUUAUUGAAGACUAACUACUGCGAAAGCAUUUGCCAAGGAUGUUUUCAUUAAUCAAGAACGAAAGUUAGGGGAUCGAAGACGAUCAGAUACCGUCGUAGUCUUAAC
rnacentral:rRNA from 1 species